rnacentral:rRNA from 1 species
UAAGGAAUAUUGGUCAAUGGACGCAAGUCUGAACCAGCCAUGCCGCGUGAAGGAUGAAGGUCCUCUGGAUUGUAAACUUCUUUUAUCUGGGACGAAAACGGGAUUUUUAUCUCAAUUGACGGUACCAGAGGAAUAAGCACCGGCUAACUCCGUGCCAGCAGCCGCGGUAAUACGGAGGGUGCAAGCGUUAUCCGGAUUUACUGGGUUUAAAGGGUGCGUAGGCGGGCAUGUAAGUCAGUGGUGAAAUACCGGAGCUUAACUUCGGAACUGCCAUUGAUACUAUAUGUCUUGAAUAUUGUGGAGGUAAGCGGAAUAUGUCAUGUAGCGGUGAAAUGCAUAGAUAUGACAUAGAACACCGAUUGCGGAGGCAGCUUGCUACGCAAAUAUUGACGCUGAGGCACGAAAGCGUGGGGAUCAAACA